rnacentral:rRNA from 1 species
AUACGGAGGGUGCAAGCGUUACUCGGAAUCACUGGGCGUAAAGCGCGCGCAGGCGGCUUGAUAAGUUGGAUGUGAAAGCCUACGGCUCAACCGUAGAACUGCAUCCAAAACUGUCAAGCUAGAGUCUGGGAGGGGACGAUGGAAUUAGUUGUGUAGGGGUAAAAUCCGUAGAGAUAACUAGGAAUACCAAAAGCGAAGGCGAUCUUCUGGAACAGUACUGACGCUGAGGCGCGAAAGCGUGGGGAGCAAACAGGAUUAGAAACCCUAGUAGUCC